rnacentral:rRNA from 1 species
UAGGGAAUCUUCCACAAUGGGCGCAAGCCUGAUGGAGCAACACCGCGUGAGUGAAGAAGGGUUUCGGCUCGUAAAGCUCUGUUGUUAAAGAAGAACACGUAUGAGAGUAACUGUUCAUACGUUGACGGUAUUUAACCAGAAAGUCACGGCUAACUACGNGCCAG